CCCAUUCGUAUUUUUUGAUCUUAAGGUCCCGUGGGCUCUACUGGAAGGGGCGUGACUUCGCCACUGUAUUCCUUUUCUCCAUUGACAUUUUGUAAAGUCAUAAUAUAAAGAGUUUUAAGCUCGGCCCAUGCCAAUUUUCGUCCAGGUAGUUGUAUUUAUAAAACAUUUGUUUCAGAGCAAACAUUUCUUUGGGAAAAUGGAAUAAAAAGCAAAGGUACGAGACUGAAUACUGACUGACUCUGAACCGCUAGGGGUCGUCGUCAGGCACGACGCGACUCUGAACCGCUAGGGAACGUCGUUAGGCACGACUCUAAAUCCCGGGCCCGAGUAGCUGGAGGUGAUGCUUCACGGCGUCGUCCCCUUAAGUGUACAUUAGAUCUCCAGCACCAUAAUGGCGAACUGCUCGUUCGGUGAAUAUGGCAGCAGAAUGGCUGAGCUUGAACACAGCCACAGUCGGCUCAGAAAAGAGACUGGAGAGAUGAGGCACUUGCUGGAGGUUGCAGAUGAGGAGGUGGCUGAACUACGCAUGGAGAAUGCAGCCCUGACAGGCAAAGUGGAAAUGCUGGAGAGUUCCCUCAGCGAUGCGGGGCACAUCCAAGUUGAGCUCCGCAGGGUCAAGAGCCUCCUCUGUGAGGAGCAGAGUAGCAACAGGAAAAGAACAAGCAACAAGGAGCAGGAGAUUCAAAAGUUGGAGGAGGAACGUAAGAUUCUGACGGAGCAGGCCAAAGGUCUAUCUGCCCAGCUGAAGGAGCUGCAGCAGCAGAGAGAGCAACGCGAGCUCAGCCAGAGUAACCUGGAGGCAGCACUGCAAAGGCUUCAGAUUAAAAUGGAAGAUAUUCGCCAGGAGCUGAAACUGAAGGAUGAGGAUAUCCACCAGCAAAACUGGCAGUUGAUGCAGCUUGAGGAGAUGAGGGAAGAGUACACAAACAUUAUACGGGACCUGCGGCUCAGGAACAAGGACCUGGAGAGCCAGGUGGAGCUCCAGCAGGAGGAGGCCGCCCGCCUGGUGAAUCACCAAUCCCCCCGCAACCCCCUCUCCAUCGCGGACGAGGUGGAGCUGCAGGCCUACCUGGCGGUGGUGGAGAAUUGUAGGCGAGAAGAGAAAGAUGAUGGGAAAAACACUGCUGUCAAGCCUUUUCCAAAGAGCCAGGGUCGUUCAGGUGGCCAGCUGCUGCACGGCGUGCUGACCAAGGGCCUCCUGGCCCUCGGAGGUGUGUCUGUCCUGGCCCUCGGAGGUCUGUCUGUCCUGGCCGUGACGGCCCCCAUGCUACUGGACAACUGGGGCUACAGCGCCGACCUUGUCUCCACCAACGACCUCUGGAAGACUGUGCAUGACUUGUUCUUGCGUAACUGUGACAAACAGUACAAGUGUUUGCCUCCAGUCUAGACUCCACCUAACUGUUCUGUUCCAGGAGAUCGGAUUGCUUCUCUGUGCCCACCAG
ensembl:lncRNA